GCUCCCCAUGAUGCAACCCCAGUCCAGCCAGUGAUUGGUAAAUCAGCACGUAGCUUCCCUGCUCCUGGAACUUGGCACUAGAUAUGGAACAGGCACUGGCUUCCUUGAAGCUAGAAUUCUGCUUCUUCCUUGAACCUGGCCCAGUGAUCAGAGACACUGGAAAUUCAGAAGCCAAGUGACUCAGAUGGUUGUGUGAUGGAAGCCUUACUAUGCCUGGGCUCGGUCUCCAAUAAUGGUUCCCUCCUGGAGGAUGGGGUUGUCCCCAUCAGAAGAAACUUCAAGAUUUCUGGAGACUUCCUUUCUGUCACCUCUUCUGUGGUGCUCCUGGCAUUUCAUGAGUGGCAGCCAGGAUAUACUGCUCAGCACCCUAUAAUGGAACAGGAGAGGUUCCCAGAGGAUGACCCAGCCUGAAAGCCAAAGAUGUGGACAUGAGGCUGGAGAAGUCAUUCCCACCCCCUUCUCAAAAGAGUCACACCAAGUUGCAGAUGCUACCAUGACGCCAACCUGACUUCCCUGGGCAGAUGACCUCACCAAUGUGUCCUGGAACCCAACCUCUCCAGAACCCUGCCCCACUAAAGAAAGAUAGAAACAGGCUGGGAGUAUGGAUCAACCUGUCAAUGCCCAUGUCCAGGCUAGAAGCAAUUACAGAAGCCAGACCUUCCCCCUUCUGCACCCUAUAACGAUCCUGGGUCCAUACUCCCAGAGGGAUAAAGAAUAGGGAACUUUCCAAUGGAAAGGGUGGGAUAUGGAACUCUGGUGGAGGGAACUGUAUGAAAUUGUACUCCUCUUAUCCCACAAUCUUGUCAAUAAUUAUUAAAUCACUAAUAAAAAAGUAAAAAAAGUUAUAGGAUGUAUUUCAUAGAAUA